AAUGCCUAAGCCAUCAUGGGGUGUUGAGUCUGCUAAGAAAGCUUAUGCAAAAUUGGCUGAUGAUGUGAGUUCAGAGUUAGUUGAUAUAAGAGCCACUGCUGAAUUGAAGCAAGAGGGGAGUCCAGAUAUAGGUGCUUUCAAGAAGAAGCCAGUUACAAUUGUAUAUAAAGGUGAAGAUAAGACGGGGUUCUUGAAUAAGCUAGCUUUGAAGUUUAAGGAGCCAGAGAAUACCACAUUGU
rnacentral:misc_RNA from 1 species